rnacentral:rRNA from 1 species
UACAGAGGGUGCAAGCGUUGUUCGGAAUUAUUGGGCGUAAAGGGCGCGUAGGCGGUGCGGUAAGUCUGUAGUGAAAUCUCUGGGCUCAACUCAGAGUCUGCUGCAGAAACUGCCGUGCUUGAGUGUGGGAGAGGUGAGUGGAAUUCCCGGUGUAGCGGUGAAAAUGCGUAGAUAUCGGGAGGAACACCUGUGGCGAAAAGCGGCUCACUGGACCACAACUGACGCUGAGGCGCGAAA